rnacentral:rRNA from 1 species
CGCUGGCGGCGUGCUUAACACAUGCAAGUCGAACGGGGUUUGCGGAGUAGCAAUACGAAGUAAACCUAGUGGCGGACGGGUGAGUAACGCGUGGGUAACCUGCCUCAUACAGGGGGAUAACAGUUGGAAACGACUGCUAAUACCGCAUAAGCGCACAGUACCGCAUGGUACAGUGUGAAAAACUCCGGUGGUAUGAGAUGGACCCGCGUUGGAUUAGCUAGUUGGUGAGGUAACGGCCCACCAAGGCGACGAUCCAUAGCCGACCUGAGAGGGUGACCGGCCACAUUGGGACUGAGAUACGGCCCAGACUCCUACGGGAGGCAGCAGUGGGGAAUAUUGGGCAAUGGGCGCAAGCCUGACCCAGCAACGCCGCGUGAAGGAAGAAGGCUUUCGGGUUGUAAACUUCUUUUGUCGAGGAAGAGUAGAAGACUGUACUCGGCGAAUAAGCCACGGCUAACUACGUG